ACAGAGGCCAUCCAUGGUGACAUAACCCUGUAAUCCCAGACUCAGGAGGCUUAGGCAGGAGGAUGGCUAGUUCAAGGCCAGCCUUGGCAAAUUAGUGAGACCCUGUCAAAAUAAAAACUAAAUAAAAAGGACUGGGGAUGUAGCUUAGUGGUAGAGUGUUUCUGGGUUCAAUCCCUAGUAUCACAAAAAAUAAAAACAAAACAUUAAAAGAUAAAAAACAGAGGGAAAGGGAGGGAGAAGGGGAAUAGCAAAGAUGGUGGAAGGAGACGGUCAUCAUUAUACAAAAUACAUGUAUGAAGAUGUGAAAAAAAAUAAAAGAUAAAAAACAAUUUCAUGAACUUCAGGGGAAAACUUCAUUAUUGUUGUUGUUGUUAUUAUUUCAUCUUAUUUUUUUGGACCAAGAAUUGAAAAUGGGUGGUUAUCCACCGAGCCAUAUCCCCAGCCUCCUUAUUAUUAUUAUUAUUAUUAUCAUUAUCAUCAUCAUCAUUGUAAUUUGUUAUAUAUGACAGCAGAAUGCAUUGCAAUUCAUAUUAUACAUAUAGAGCACAAUUUUUCAUGUCUCUGGUUGUAUGCAAAGUAGAGCCACACCAUUCAUGUCUUUAUAUAUGUGCUUAGGGUAAUGAAGUCCAUCUCAUUCCACCAUCUUUUCUACCCUUAUUCCCCCCUCCCUUCCCCAACCUCCCCUUUGCUCUAUCUAGAGUUUGUCUAAUCCUCCCAUGCUCCCUGCCAAUCCCACUAUGAAUCAGCUUCCUUAUAUCAGAGAAAACAUUUAGCAUUUGUUUUUUUUGGAUUGGCUUACUUCACUUAGCAUUAUAUUCUCCAACUCCAUCCACUUACUUGCAAAUGCCAUGAUUGUAUUCUCUUUUAAUGCUGAAUAGUAUUCCAUUGUUUAUAUAUACCACAUUUUCUUUAU
rnacentral:lncRNA from 1 species